GAUAAUUUGGAGCUUUUUCGAUGAUAUAUACAUUUUAAAAGUCACCUGGGGCCAACACGAAUUGAUUUUUUUGAAUGACUUUUGUUCCAUAUGAUAAAGUAACAACUACUAAAGGUAAUUAAUAAAUUUUGUAAUGAAAAAUAAAUGUUUAUUUUUUUUCUGAAAAUCUUAUACCCGCGAGCCUCCUUAAACGAUCAAGAUUAGAUGGUUCUGAAAAUCAAAAAUUAGCGAAUGUUCAUCCACAACUUGUUACUGGUUUAAGUAUAGGUAUGUUAUACCAAUUAUGUCAAUAUAAAUGAAUGUAACGCAACUGUCUUACAAGUAGCAGGUUAAACUAACUUUAAAACUAGAUCAAAUCCACCAUUGUUUACAUAAGGAAAUGCCUGUACCAAGUCAGGACUAUGAAAGUUGAUUCAUAUGUUUUAUGUGUUUGAGCUUUUGAUAAUACCAUUUGAUAAUAAUAAAAACAGAAUAAUGAGGUUCGGUUGAGAACAAAACUUUGUGACAAAAGGGUUGGUUUUAGUCUCUAAAUUGUACAAUUUUCAUUAAAUUUAAAUUAAAGACAAUGCUCAAGUUCUAUGGUUUGUCCUGGGACAUUUUUCAUAGACUCUCACAAUAGAAGAUACAUUUUGCUUCACUUCUAUUAUUUUAGUAAUAACUGCAACGUUACUAUGUGUAUGUUAUGCAGGUUCAAAUUAAUAUCCAAAAAUAAAAGAAAAUAAGGAUUGAAAUUGAUCAACACAAAGCUGAGAGGUGAGAGGCAGGAUAGAGAAGAUAGAGAAGAUUAAUACAUCUCGAGAGAAUAUUAUCAAGCUCAGCUUUUCCUUAGUUGACAAUAAUUUUUCGGCUAAUAAUAUCACCCUCUUAUAUUUGGGUUAUUUAUAUUUAAUGCUAGCAGUUUCCCCAGAAAACACAAUCGAAAGUGUCACAGCUUCUCCCCGUCCCCUUUUACUGCAAUAUACCUUUUUCAUAAGGUAUUACUGGGAUAAGCAAACUAUAUUGUAUUAUCAUUCAAAGUUGAAUUACAGUCUAAAUCAAAUCAAUUUAGAAGGUUAAAUUUAAAUAAUCCAGGCUUGAUCUGUCAUUAUAUUUAUUUAUUGUUUCUUAACGUUUUACUUUUGCUAACAAACUUUCGAGAUCAAAGAGAAUUAUCCUCUUCACACGACUGUCCGUUCAAAAUGUGAACUAUUUGUAAAUUAUGGACUAUGUUUAGAACAGCUAUAUAGUAUGUCAUGUAUUUUCGAUAGAAUAUAUUUUCUUGAAAUUUUUAUAAAUAAGUCCGUCAGUUUAACUUUUUUUUAAAUGUAUCAAAUGUAUCAUAUCGGGUCCUGUAUUACCAACUAUACGGUAUGCUCUUGUCUCAUUAUGAAAGGUGGCCUAUAAUUGCAUAAAUCUAUUGCGUUUGAACUCUGGUUGUUUCAUUGACAAUUAAAACACAUCUCCUGAUUUUGAUAUCUUUUUGAUAUAUGUUUAUUUUAAAUAUCAGUUUUUAACCUAGCAUUGGUUUUUAUAAUAAAAUUGUAUCGUCGCUGGGCUUCCAAAAUGUCGUAUAUAACUUUUUUGGCUAAAAAUACUUUUUGACACCAAUAGUCUGGGUGGGAAGGAAAUCUUUGGUAUUGCAAAAUAGCAUACAGUUAGACCAAUCAAAACGUUUGAAAUAAGACAAAUUACAAAAUUGCCAAUGUCAGUGGUUUGUAAAGUUUGCUUCCAACAUGUUGUAUGAAAACUUGAAAAUCGUUGUAUAGUGGUUUUGGAAUGAAAUAAUUGAACAUUUCUUUAUUUCUGUGAAAAUAAUUUAAGUUCUCGGAUAAUCCAGAAAUGUCAAAGUUUUUAUUUCACUGCAAUUCGCAAAAAUGUUUAAGUUCACAUACGACAUUUUGGAAGCAUGCAUUUUGUCAAAAUUUUCAAAGCCUGUUUGUGAGAUAUUUUUUUCUUGAAAAAAUUGUUAUUUUCAACAUUUUGGAAGCCCAGCGACGGUAUGUUUUUACAUUAAAUUCUACAACUAUUAAAAAUAUGGUUUUUAUUUGAAAGACCUUCGAUAGAACUAUAUGCAUUUUAAUCUAUGCAGUGUCUAGGACCGGUUUAUAUACACAUAUCUUUGAAACUGAAACUAACAGAUUAAUGUGUCGCAAACCUAUUCUAAACUAUUAGAAUAAUAUGCCGUAAAUUUGUUCGAAACUAUCAGAAUUAUUUCGAGGUUAGCACCCUCAAAAUCUGGCCUACAGUUAAUAUAUUCAAAUGUAUUCUAGGGUACAAAUGUCUGAAUAUGGUCUUGAGAAGAGCAGCUCUAAAUAACCGCCAAAUGUUAAGUGAGGUUGAAGUUUAUCCAAUCCAUAUUAGAAAUGGAAAGAUCAUUGAAAGAAGUUUUUCGAAAACAACAUUAAAGAAAUACUUAACCCCAAGAUUUCUUUACAGUCAAUUAUUUGUUAUAUUAGAGAUACAUAAGAUACACAGAACGUUCGUUUAAUCUUGUCUAAAAAUGUCUUCAAAGAUCUAAACAAGGAUAUCGUUUUCCAUACAAAUUUGUAUUUAAGAUUUCAAAGAAGACAGACUUGUUUGGAUGGAACAUGGCAACGGUGAUUUAAAAUCUUCCAAUUUUGACGGAACAGAUGUAAUCAAAAUAUUCAGCACGAAUACGAUAAAGGCAAAUGGAGAAAUUUCUGUACAUGGUAGCACGACAUACUGUGCAAAUGAUCGUAACAUAUUAAGCGUCGAAGUAUUAGCAAAAACAACAGCAAAAGUAAUUCAUACAGAUUCAGGAAGAGUAUUGGGUGUAUUUUAUUAUAAAGAAAAAGGUAAGGUAAUACACGACGAAUCUUUGUGUAUUCAAUAAAAAAUACAAACUGGAUCACAAUAAAUCUACCAUGGAUACCAGAAAUGAAAUUUGAACACCAAACGUGCAUUUCGUGUUCAAAAUAUUCAUCAGUGACGCCCGAAUAAAAAAAAUUUAGAGGCCAAAAUAUAAGGAGAGUAUUGAAAAUUAGAUGGACAAAGAACUUAAUUUUAAUUUUGCAUCGGAAAAAAGACACAAUUAGAUUGUAUGAUAUAAAAACUGGUAAGGUGUGGUAUGAUUUUAAAAAGUGGAAGCAAACAUUCAUGACCAUUCUAGGACUUUCAACAGAGUAAUCCUCAUACCAUAUUAUCGGCUAUAAACGGCCCCGACAUCAAACAUGUGAAACAAUUUACACUGUCUAUUCGAAUACUUCACAAAAGAUUAUAACUUUGCAUUAACCAAGUGAUUUGAAACACAAGAAGUAAAACUAUUAGUUGGUUGAUGUUUUCUUAUUUGAAUAUAGGCGUGUAUUAGACAUAGUGAUAAUGAUUCUGUCUUGUAAUAUAAUGUUUGUCUCACUUUUGUUAAAUGUAUUUGUACUGCUGUUUCUUUCUGGUUUUCGAUAACUAAAACUAACCAAAGUUGUUGAGGUUUUACAUGUUUGACCAGAAACUGAAACUCGUUACCUAAUGAUUUAAAGUUGUUAUUCAUUAUAUAUAAUCGUGACAAUGUUUUAUUUUUUUUAAUUUGGGUGGUUAAGGUUUUACAGACAUACAGACAUAUUAAGACUAUGUCAAACGGUAAACAUGUACCAUUCUCAACAAUUUGUAUUACAACACACACUAUUAAUCAAACUAACCGUAUGCUAAUGUAUCUCAUAGUGACGGUAACUAAUCAAUGAAUUCGGUAAUGGCUAUUCUUUAUAUAUAUUUUUCUUUUAUAUCAUAAACGUAUACAUUUUACUGUAAUAAAUGGAUGCUUUAUGAAAUUUGUAUUUUUAUCUAGUGAGAUAAAUACAGAAUACAUUUUUAAACGAAUUUUAAAAUUCAUUUAAAGCUAUCAUUCUAAUAAUACAUUAAACUAUAGGUCAAAGUACGGCCUUUAACACGGAGCGUUGGUUCACACCGAACUGGAAGCUAUAGAGAGACUCAAAUAACUAAUGUAAAAUCAUUCAAAUUCAAACAUCUAAUCUAUAUUAUAAACGAGAAACGAGAAAAAAUCAUGAGCCACAACAACAAAUGACAAACACUGAACAACAUGAUCCUGAAUUAGGACAGGUGCAUAAAAGUUCAGUAGGUUAAAACGUUUUACAAGCGCCAACCUUCCUUCUAACCUGAGCGAGAAGUGUAAUAAUUUAACAUAAAACACACAUUCAACACAUUGAUUGUAAUAGUUGACUUUCCUAGCAACAUUUGACUUAAGACAUCAUGUUAAUGUGUAUGUAGUUGUUUUCAGUUCUCUUCUGUUUCCUCCUAUUUACUCUGAGUAGCUAUAUAAUUUACAUAAUCGAUGGGAAAUCACACGGCGAAUAACUUUUUUAAAAUUUAA
rnacentral:lncRNA from 1 species